AGAUAGUCACUACACUUUAAGCACUUUUCUGGAGUUGGGCUUUCGGAACAAAAAGCUUCACUACGCUAGUCAACACCGCGCUUCGCGCGAGCCGGCGUAUGUCGGAAUUGGCUCCGUAAGCGUGUUCGGAGUCGGCGCAGAUGGCCACUGCCGCGCGCUAUGCGUCGUCGUUUGACGUUCGCCGCAAACGCGUGUUUAUCGCGGAGACCGACUAUAUAACCGCUUGCCAGAGAACAGGCGUGCGCAUUCAACAUGGAAGGAGAAGAGAGUGAUACUACCGAUACAGAGAGCUGUGUUUAUGGCUGUACAGAAAUCGCAAGACAAUGUGCCCAACAACGAUGAAUAAAGAAGAUUAAUAAUCCUGCAUAAGUUAUGGUAUAUAUCAUUCAUAAGCAAUUUGCAUCACUACACAAGGCACACGUAUAACAUAACCAUAAGCUUACCAAAUCUUAUGCGUAUCCAUAAGUUAAACCGUAAGCAUAUAUAACCAUAGGCUAAAUCAUAAAGCAUAACCAUAAGCUAAGCCGCAAGAAUAAUCAUAGGCUAAAUCAUAAAGCAUCACCGAACCUUUUCACUUCGAGAUAUCCAGGCUUAACCUUAGCUAAGCCCCAGCCAAUUUUUUUUUUUUUUUUUGUUCAGGUUUCAACCAUUGGUUUCUAAUAUCGGUCACGGGGAACUCAUGAAAUGAAAUUCCUCUUGAUGCUCGGCCGCUUGACUUUCACAACGGUAUGCAGAAGUAAACCAUCCUGCAUGAAGAAGCCGCAAACGCGAAAGCCGGCGCCCACGGGGCUGAGAAUCACAGUGCCACUGAAAUAGAAUCUGGUAAUCAAGAUCUAGCUACACCAACAGAUCACCAAGCACUCAGCCAAUGGAUUGUCUCGCGCGCGUGCGUUUGCGUCCUUCCGUGCUCUCGCUGAAAAUGCUUGCUACCCGUGCGUGCGGCCGGCCACAGGAUUGGGGUAGGUGGGGGUGAGCACUAGCGCCACUGUUCGCGGCGGCGGUUUGGAAAACUAAAAAAAGCCACACAAGCAAAAGCAAAUCAGCGGCGUGCGCAGCGUCGCACGCGCAGGUCGCCCCUUAUACAGUAGGUCGUGUCCUCCACUACGGCGUGCCUCAUAAUCAGAAAGUGGUUUUAGCACGUAAAACCCCAUAAUUUAAUUUAAUUUAAGUUAAUGACUGGUGAAGUGCUACGAAGCAGAUCAUUUUUACACUUGUAUUCCAGUAUGACGGGUUGCAGCACACCAAACUGUGCAAAUCGCACGGAAAGUGGCAAAGCUUUUUACGCGUUGCCGUGUGGACGGACGAGAGCGACCGGCUCCGAAAGGGACCAGGAUAUGCGAGGUCCGUUCGCCUUGUUUACAGAGUGGCUUUGAAUUCUGCCCCCCAAGGCUUCAAGAAACAGCACUCAUUCCCUGACGCCACCAGCCAUUGUCAUCCAUUCCCUUGUACGAAAUAAAUUUGAUCUAGAAA